CAAUAGCGUAUAUUUAAGUUGUUGCAGUUAAAAAGCUCGUAGUUGGAUUUCGGAUGGGAUCUGCCGGUCCGCCUUUGAGGUGUGUACUGGUAGGUCCUAUCUUGUUGUCGGGGACCAGCUCCUGGGCUUCACUGUCCGGGACUGGGAGCCGGCGAAGUUACUUUGAGUAAAUUAGAGUGUUCAAAGCAAGCCUACGCUCUGAAUAUAUUAGCAUGGAAUAACACGAUAGGACUCUGGCUUAUCUUGUUGGUCUGUGAGACCAGAGUAAUGAUUAAGAGGGACAGUCGGGGGCAUUCGUAUUCCGUUGUCAGAGGUGAAAUUCUUGGAUUUACGGAAGACGAACAUCUGCGAAAGCAUUUGCCAAGGAUGUUUUCAUUG
rnacentral:rRNA from 1 species